UCAAAACUGUUUCAUUUUCUUCUGAAAUUUUUCUUGGAUUUUUGUUGUUGAAGGUUGAUGGAGAUGAUAGGAAGAUGAAGAAGAGGGGAAG
rnacentral:pre_miRNA from 1 species